UACGUAGGGGGCAAGCGUUGUCCGGAAUCAUUGGGCGUAAAGAGCGUGUAGGCGGUUCGGUAAGUCGGCUGUGAAAGUCCAGGGCUCAACCCUGGGAUGCCGGUCGAUACUGCCGGACUAGAGUUCGGAAGAGGCGAGUGGAAUUCCCGGUGUAGCGGUGAAAUGCGCAGAUAUCGGGAGGAACACCUAUGGGCGAAGGCAGGUCUCUGGGCCA
rnacentral:rRNA from 1 species